UUCUCUUGAGUGAUGGUUCAGUGACCUGGAAGUGAUGUAGCCUCCAAGACAUUUUUUUUUCCCCACCUGGUCAACACCAUGAAUUUUGAGCCCCAAACAGGUUAUUUCUGCUGUCUGUGGUGUCUACUGAGGAUCUAAAGAACCUGUGGAACAUCAGAGACUUUGCAGCUACUGGAGCUAACCUGUGUACUGCUAUUGCUACAGAGGAAGCAGCAGAAAGCUGAGCUAACAGGCUGUUUUGCAGUGAAACGAAUGGAUUUUAUGAUGUAACUCUGACUGAAUAAUUAUCUAAAUUGAAAACUGCUGCAUUGCAUUACAAUGGAAGUGCUACACAGCCACAUGCAUCAACUGCAGCUGUUGACAAGCAUAUGGACCUAUUGUUCGAGUCCGUGGUGGUGGAUGCUCUAUCAUAUCAGGAGUCGGUGGUGGUGGAUGCUCUACCAUAUCAGGAGUCUGACUAAGUACCUGUGCCUGAACCUCUCUGUGUCUAGUUCAAAAGACCUGAAAGACCUGCUGUAAGCAGGCACAGGAUAAUAUUUUAAAAGAACCUGUAAGGUUGCCUGAUGCUGAACUUCGGGCAGCUGCGUGCUCAGUGGAACAACCGCCUGUGGGAGGAGUCGUUGUGUUGCUGUUAGGAGUUUGGGUCGGAGUCCUGGGUUUGUGUUCCCUUUAAUCUCUUCAUUAGCCUUGCUAGUCACCAUUGCAGAGCACCAUGGAGAGGCUUACCUGAAAACUCUUCUCAUGGGGCAGGCACAUCCUCACACACCUGUAACCCCAUCCUUGAAUAAAAGCUGGUAGCUGGUCACUCAUCAGAGUGUUUUAACCCAUAUCUAGCCCAUGACUCUGCCGUUUUUCAA